GUUAAGAGACAUGUAGAACAUAUUCCAACCAAGAAAAGAAAGAGAACUUAGUGAAAAAGGUAAAAUGGCUAUUAUGAAGUCAAUCAUUCGUGCAAGGGGCAAGGGAUUGAAAGUAUCAAUUGAUAUUUGUGUAGAUGGAGAUGUUCCAUUGUCGUCAAGCCUCAUUCGCGUAGAUGAUGAUGCUGGAUAUUUGAAAGUAUCCCUCUACGACAAUGGAACAUGUCCAUCUAAACAAAUAUCAAUUCUAUCUUCAAAAGAUAAGGGACCAAAAAUAUAAGGGGAUUACGCAGCAAAUCGAGUCAGUUGCAUCAAAAAAAAGGUUCAUGCUAUUGAUAUUGAACAAAAAGAGGUUGUUGCUAAGAAGACUGCGGCUAGCAAAAAAAACAUACAUCUCAGAGAUGCUUUUGCUACUUAGUUUUAUUUCUUUUUAAGUUAUGAAUUGGUUGUAUAUUUAGAAUCUUUAGAAGUUAAACGAUUAUA